GAUAAUAAAAAUUUAAAAAUUUUUUUUAUUUACAAUAAAAAAUUU
rnacentral:tRNA from 1 species